AACGAACGCUGGCGGCAUGCCUAACACAUGCAAGUCGAACGAGACCUUCGGGUCUAGUGGCGCACGGGUGCGUAACGCGUGGGAACCUGCCCUUAGGUUCGGAAUAACUCCCCGCAAGGGGUGCUAAUACCGGAUAAUGUCUUCGGACCAAAGAUUUAUCGCCUUUGGAUGGGCCCGCGUUGGAUUAGCUAGUUGGUAGGGUAAAAGCCUACCAAGGCGACGAUCCAUAGCUGGUCUGAGAGGAUGAUCAGCCACACUGGGACUGAGACACGGCCCAGACUCCUACGGGAGGCAGCAGUGGGGAAUAUUGGACAAUGGGCGAGAGCCUGAUCCAGCAAUGCCGCGUGAGUGAUGAAGGCCUUAGGGUUGUAAAGCUCUUUUACCCGGGAUGAUAAUGACAGUACCGGGAGAAUAAGCUCCGGCUAACUCCGUG
rnacentral:rRNA from 1 species